GCCUGGGUGGCUCAGUGGCUGAGCAUCUGCCUUAGGCUCAGGUCAUGAUCCUGGGGACCUUGGGAUUGAGUCCCACAUCAGGCU
rnacentral:tRNA from 1 species